rnacentral:rRNA from 1 species
GACGAACGCUGGCGGCGUGCUUAACACAUGCAAGUCGAACGGAAAGGCCCUGCUUGCCGGGUACUCGAGUGGCGAACGGGUGAGUAACACGUGGGUGAUCUGCCCUGCACUUCGGGAUAAGCUUGGGAAACUGGGUCUAAUACCGGAUAGGAGCCAUCUUUAGUGUGGUGGUUGGAAAGUUUUUUCGGUGUAGGAUGAGCUCGCGGCCUAUCAGCUUGUUGGUGGGGUAAUGGCCUACCAAGGCGGCGACGGGUAGCCGGCCUGAGAGGGUGUACGGCCACAUUGGGACUGAGAUACGGCCCAGACUCCGACGGGAGGCAGCAGUGGGGAAUAUUGCACAAUGGGCGCAAGCCUGAUGCAGCGACGCCGCGUGGGGGAUGAAGGCCUUCGGGUUGUAAACUCCUUUCGCUAGGGACGAAGCUUUUUUGUGACGGUACCUAGAUAAGAAGCACCGGCUAACUACGUG